AUUGAACGCUGGCGGCAGGCCUAACACAUGCAAGUCGAGCGGAUGAAGGGAGCUUGCUCCUGGAUUCAGCGGCGGACGGGUGAGUAAUGCCUAGGAAUCUGCCUGGUAGUGGGGGAUAACGUCCGGAAACGGGCGCUAAUACCGCAUACGUCCUGAGGGAGAAAGUGGGGGAUCUUCGGACCUCACGCUAUCAGAUGAGCCUAGGUCGGAUUAGCUAGUUGGUGGGGUAAAGGCCUACCAAGGCGACGAUCCGUAACUGGUCUGAGAGGAUGAUCAGUCACACUGGAACUGAGACACGGUCCAGACUCCUACGGGAGGCAGCAGUGGGGAAUAUUGGACAAUGGGCGAAAGCCUGAUCCAGCCAUGCCGCGUGUGUGAAGAAGGGCUUCGGAUUGUAAAGCACUUUAAGUUGGGAGGAAGGGAAGUAAGUUAAUACCUUGCUGUUUUGACGUUACCAACAGAAUAAGCACCGGCUAACUUCGU
rnacentral:rRNA from 1 species